GCACAGACCCAGAAAUGUUGUUCUGCUAAGACAAGACCCAAAAUUUCCUCUCUCUAGCAGUGUUUUCUCCUUGGUUCUUUUCCAGAGAAGUUCCCCAAGGCAAGGCUGGACUUCCAACCUGGGCGCAGCCACGCUGAAGUGGGUGGUGAGGAAGGUCCAUCGAGCUGCUCUGCACUCUGCUGGAUUUCAACACGAGGCACGAUGGGGCUUUUAUAUAAAAUGAGAAGUGGAGGUGCAAACAAAUAUUGCACAAGAAUAUCAAUGUUUAACUGCUGAGCUUGUCCCGGGUGUGUUUCUGGAGGGAUUCUGCAGUUCAGGGCUGUUCCUGCUGCCUCUCCCUUGCCUCAGGAACUCCACAACCGAUGGGGAGUCAGCACAGCUUUCCCUCACUGUCACAGUGCUGCAAGAGAAACAGAUGGGACUCUUGAUUUUUUUAUCUAGGAAAGCUGAGUUUUUAUUGCAUAGCUCUUAUUUUUAUAGGAAUAUUAGAAGCUACUGUGUUAAUCUAAUUGAUUAACAACACACUGACAGUAUUUUGCUUAACAAGAAUCAAUCUAAUUGGGUAACAAUACACUGACAGUUUAUUGCUCAGUAAAUGGUGAGGGUGCAUGUUCCUAAAACCCCUCUACUUUUGGCUAGUUCACAUGUUUUCUUCAUGGACUCUUAUGAAGAGUCUUCAUGGACUUUUUACAGGUGCAGUCUGUUUUUCUUACUAGAAUGAGUUAUUUAAACUGAUUCUCAUUCUCUUAAUUCCAUCUCAAGGGAACUUAAGCUAGUUACUAGCUGUACAUAGCUGAAGUAAGGCUUGAGCUGGGAUUUUAUCAAUCUUUUCUUUUAUAAGGUUUGUCCCAUGUGGAACAUCAGAGGGAUUUGGAGCGUGGCAAAGGCUCUGCAGGAGCCCAAGGAGGCAGAGGCAGGUGCUGGCUUUCCAGCUGUCCCUGCAGGGGCUGUCACCACAGAGGAAAGUCGUGUCCCUUGUGGUGGAAGCCACUCCUGAGUGACUCCUGCUGCUGGGGGAAGAUCAAAGAAGUGCCCAGUUCUGGGUCACUCCCUGAGCUCUGCACACAGACUGGGGCUUGUUUGCAGCACUGCCAGGAGUGCCCUGGCCAUUUCACCCGUAGGAAUAAGCAGGAAAAGCCAGAGAUGUAGGGGAAAGUGGAGUGAUGAGUUUAUGGCUGAAAGAGCUGAUUAACAAAUGGGUUUGGGGCCAGUGAAUGUUUGUGCCCUGCAGCUCUGCCCUGUGGAGAUGGAAAGUGAGUUUCAUGCAUUUUCCAGCUGGAAAGAGUGAGGGUUGUCCCCCCAGAUCCCUUCAGAGCAGAGUUAGGAAGGGACAGAGGAGAGUCCACACUCGCUGUGUGAGGGCUGCAGGGCUCAUUUAUUUACUGGCCAGGAAAACAUCCUCUUCUCCCUGAAAUCUGCAAGUUCCUGGUUUCAUCCCUUCAUAUCCUGCCCCUAAUGAGAGCAAAACCCAGCAGAGAUCUCCUCCCCUGGCACAAGGUCAAAUGAGCUCCCAGAUGUGCAAAAAGCAGUGAUUUUUACUUGUGUUUCAAUAGCCCUGUGUACAGGAUCACCCCCCAAAAAAGGCAUCAUAUUCCAAUUUUUGGCAAAAAUCAACCCAAACUACAAAUCCAUGAGCAUUUUAAAUGUGAAACACAUCCCUUACUUGUUUUGGGUUUUCUUUUCCCCAUAUCUCCUCAGGCAAAUCACAAAAUUCCUGCUCAGCUCCAGGAAUUUACUGGCAUGAGUCAAUUAUUCCACCUGGGUGAAGGACACUUUUUCUGUGGGGCUGUUGAGGUGUUUAAUCAGGGUGAUGUCAGAGCACAGGGAGGAGCAAGGGAGCACAAUUCCCAAAAUGAGCAACUCCAGGCACAUCCUCAUCCUCCCUGGCCCCAGCAGGAACAGAUGUGCUCACUCCAGGCAGGCAGUUUCAUCAUUCUCCUGGGAAAAUCCUUGCUGGAAGUUCCCUCAUGCAAAGCUUUCUCCUCACUCUGAAUUAUUCACAGCUCUUCAGCCUGGUGUCACUGACUGAGCUGCAGGAACAGGGAUGUGCUCCUGGGACAGCCCAGGACAUGGAAAUGUCAGAAAUGGAUUUGUAAAGAAAUCUCAAGCCUGGUAAAGCUCAUACAGCCUGGUCCACCUGUGUGCAAACUCUGAGAAAAGGUGUGCAGCCUUAGGGAGGCCAUGGAACAGAGAUGACAUUGCUGAGAGAGAGAUUCAGCUGGAAACAAGUUUCAAAAGAUGGCCUUGCAAAAACAUCAGGUGUUUUAGAGAACUAGAACUGUGAAAGGUGCAUUGCAGCAGGACCAUGUGGGGUAAAAUAAUAGGUGCUUGGUGUUAAAUGUAUGUUAAAAUAGAGGUAAGAAUACAGGUGAUUGGUGUUAGAGGUAUUAGCAGCAUUGUGUGGCAAAAGCUAAUAGGCUGAACAACAUUUCUAAGGUGUUGUGACCAGGAAAUGGGCUGGCUUCUGAUGGAAUGGCGUUGGAUUUUACAUCUCUUGCGUCUCACCCUUCAUCAAGAUUGAUAAUGGAACAAAAACGCCUUUUAAACGCCUCUGUUACCCUGUCUCUGUAAAAGUAGGAAAAUCAACAGGGGACCAUGGAGAUUAUCCCAGUUCCUGAGGUGUUGGCACCAAAAUCUGCCCUGUCCCAGUCAGAAAUGUGUGGUAGCACCAAACUGGCUUGGAGGAGGAUUUGCCAUUCCACAGUCCCUCUCUUCUGCCCUGGGUCCUGGGAACCCUCCUGUGUCAGAGCCCCUGGAUUUUAAUUUUAAGGGGUUGGUUACAGCAUUGUCCCAUUUGUUACAACACAAAUGCAGCAAAGGGGCUACAGGAGUGAAUGUGAUGUCACAGAGCAACCCUGGAGUAAUUCCAAAAUUUUCUUUGGCUUUCAGAAGUUCAGGGAUGCUUCAGUGGUUCACUGGUGAAAAGUUUUUGCUUUCCAAAUAGGUCUUGUAUGACCUCAUUCCCUCACAGUCAUGGGAGGUGUCAGAGAUCUUAUUACAUAAUUUAAAGUUUCCUUUCCCCACCUUGAGGAACUUGGAAUUUUCUGACAGAUAAAAAAUGAUGUAACAAGAUGCCUGGAUCCUGCUUGGGCAUUGAGUGUUCCUGUGAACUCCUGAAUCCCUUAUCCUGCCAUGCCAUUCUCAGUUUGGGUCCCCAGGCAUUAUUUAUUUAGCAUUAAAUAAAUAUUUACACAUUAAUAAUUAAUAGCAAAAUAGGAAGUUGUCACAACUUCCUUUUUCUUCCAGGUAUAUCCCUGAGUGCUUUAAUUACAGAAUCAUGGAAUAUCCUGGGCUGGAAGGGAUCCUCAAGGAUCAUCAGUCCAACUCCUGGACACCCCAGCAACCCCCCCGCUGUCCCUGAGAGCAUUGUCCAAACUCCCCUUGGACCUAGAAUGGCCUGGCUGGGCUUUGUCUGAAAACUCCUUUUCUAGGAGCUGUCAGACGAAGAAAAUGCUGCUUGAAUUUCAGUCAAUGAAAUGAAUUUACUGGGCUUUCCCCUUGACUUUCAGUUUGCAAUGUUCUUUCCCCACCCCCAGCACUGUAACAUGGCCCAAGCAGCGCUGCUGGUGGAGUUCAGAGUUACAACAUCCCCAAGAAAUGAGCCCAGCUCAAGAGAAGAGCCCAGCUUGCAGCUGGCUCCUCCAGCUGGGUGCUGGCAGGUUUAUCUCAAUGUCAGAUAUAUCAAUUAUAUCAUUGUCAGAUCUCAGUGUCAGGUUUAUCUCAGUGUCAGAUAUAUCAAUUAUAUCAUUGUCAGAUCUCAGUGUCAGGUUUAUACCAGUGUCAGGUUUAUCUCAGUGGCAGAUAUAUCAAUUAUAUCAUUGUCAGAUCUCAGUGUCAGGUUUAUCUCAGUGUCAGGUUUAUCUCAGUGGCAGAUAUAUCAAUUAUAUCAUUGUCAGAUCUCAGUGUCAGGUUUAUCUCAAUGUCAGAUAUAUCAAUUAUAUCAUUGUCAGAUCUCAGUGUCAGGUUUAUCUCAGUGUCAGGUUUAUCUCAGUGUCAGAUAUAUCAAUUAUAUCAUUGUCAGAUCUCAGUGUCAGGUUUAUCUCAGUGGCAGAUAUAUUAAUUAUAUCAUUGUCAGAUCUCAGUGUCAGGUUUAUCUCAG
ensembl:lncRNA